AGAGUUUGAUCCUGGCUCAGGACGAACGCUGGCGGCGUGCUUAACACAUGCAAGUCGAACGGAAAGGCCCUUUCGGGGGUGCUCGAGUGGCGAACGGGUGAGUAACACGUGGGUGAUCUGCCCUGCACUUUGGGAUAAGCCUGGGAAACUGGGUCUAAUACCGGAUAGGACCAUGGCCUGCAUGGGUUGUGGUGGAAAGCUUUUGCGGUGUGGGAUGGGCCCGCGGCCUAUCAGCUUGUUGGUGGGGUGAUGGCCUACCUAGGCUUCGACGGGUAGCCGGCCUGAGAGGGUGUCCGGCCACACUGGGACUGAGAUACGGCCCAGACUCCUACGGGAGGCAGCAGUGGGGAAUAUUGCACAAUGGGCGCAAGCCUGAUGCAGCGACGCCGCGUGGGGGAUGACGGCCUUCGGGUUGUAAACCUCUUUCAGUACCGACGAAGCCCUUUGGGGUGACGGUAGGUACAGAAGAAGCACCAGCCAACUACGUGCCAGCAGCCGCGGUAAUACGUAGGGUGCGAGCGUUGUCCGGAAUUACUGGGCGUAAAGGGCUUGUAGGUGGUUUGUCGCGUUGUUCGUGAAAUGCCACAGCUUAACUGUGGGCGUGCGGGCGAUACGGGCAGACUGGAGUACUGCAGGGGAGACUGGAAUUCCUGGUGUAGCGGUGGAAUGCGCAGAUAUCAGGAGGAACACCGGUGGCGAAGGCGGGUCUCUGGGCAGUAACUGACGCUGAGGAGCGAAAGCGUGGGGAGCGAACAGGAUUAGAU
rnacentral:rRNA from 1 species